rnacentral:tRNA from 1 species
GUGGCUAUGGUGUAACGGCAGCACGAGAGAUUGUGGAUCUCUCGGAACGGGUUCGAUUCCCGUUAGCCACCCCA